rnacentral:rRNA from 1 species
UACGUAGGUGGCAAGCGAUACUCGGAAUCACUAGGCGUAAAGCGCAGGUAGGCGGUUCGGUAAGUCUUUUGUGAAAGCUCCCGGCUUAACCUGGGAACUGCAUUUGAUACUCUGGAGCUUGAGUACGGGAGAGGAUAGUGGAAUUCCCAGUGUAGAGGUGAAAUUCGUAGAUAUUGGGAAGAACACCGGUGGCGAAGGCGGCUAUCUGGACCGUAACUGACGCUGAGGCGCGAAAGCGUGGGGAGCAAACAGG